GACGAACGCUGGCGGCGUGCUUAACACAUGCAAGUCGAACGGAAAGGCCCUGCUUUUGUGGGGUGCUCGAGUGGCGAACGGGUGAGUAACACGUGAGUAACCUGCCCUUGACUUUGGGAUAACUUCAGGAAACUGGGGCUAAUACCGGAUAGGAGCUCCUGCUGCAUGGUGGGGGUUGGAAAGUUUCGGCGGUUGGGGAUGGACUCGCGGCUUAUCAGCUUGUUGGUGGGGUAGUGGCUUACCAAGGCUUUGACGGGUAGCCGGCCUGAGAGGGUGACCGGCCACAUUGGGACUGAGAGACGGACCAGACUCCUACGGGAGGCAGCAGUGGGGAGUAUUGCACAAUGGGCGGAAGCCUGAUGCAGCAACGCCGCGUGCGGGAUGACGGCCUUCGGGUUGUAAACCGCUUUCGCCUGUGACGAAGCGUGAGUGACGGUAAUGGGUAAAGAAGCACCGGCUAACUACGUG
rnacentral:rRNA from 1 species